AUGCAGGAAGAUGGUGUGAAUUGUGGUGUUGUAGAGUGGGUUGAUGGGCCUUGGCCAACUGUUCUUCAGAGAUGUUUGUGCAAGCUAUGGGAGAUGUUCCAUGAGCAGAACUUUGGAAGGGUACAGGACAAGGAGAAGUUUGAGAAGGAGUUGGCCAGGCUUAAGACUGAAAAUGAUAAGCUUUGCAUUGAGUACACCAAGCUUGUUGAUGAUGUAUCCAAGAUGUUUGAUUGGCAGGAUGGUAGGGUGGACAAGAAGGUGCACCAGAAACAAGUGGAGGAGGAAGAACUUGAGAAGAAGAAGAAGGAGCUAAAGGAGAAAGCUAUGUUGGAGGUGCAGAUGGAAAAGCUCAAACUUACAAAAGAGCAGAGGUGCAUUUUGCAGAGCCAAGCUGAUAUCAUCAAGAACACCAGGAAGGCUAUGAAGGAUGUUCAAGUUGACAGAGAUGUUCUUAAGAAGGAGAAGGCAAAGCUUGAGCUUGUUGUUGUUGAGCUGCUGAAAGAAGGGUAUGGCAGCAAGGAGAAGUUAGAGCAAAUCAAUGCCAUCCUUGAGUCUUGA
rnacentral:rRNA from 1 species